rnacentral:rRNA from 1 species
UACGGAGGGUGCAAGCGUUAUCCGGAUUUACUGGGUUUAAAGGGUGCGUAGGUGGGCAGGUAAGUCAGUGGUGAAAUCCCCAAGCUUAACUUGAGAACUGCCAUUGAUACUAUCUGUCUUGAAUAUCCUGGAGGUGAGCGGAAUAUGUCAUGUAGCGGUGAAAUGCUUAGAUAUGACAUAGAACACCCAUUGCGAAGGCAGCUCACUAAACUGUAACUGACGCUGAGGCACGAAAGCGUGGGGAGCAAACAGG